rnacentral:rRNA from 1 species
UUUUGCAUGCGGCAGCUUACCAUGCAGUCGAACGCAUUCUUCGGACUGAGUGGCAGACGGGUGAGUAACGCGUGGGAAUCUACCCAUCUCUCUGGAAUAACUGCUGGAAACUGGAGCUAAUACCGGAUACGCCCUUUUGGGGAAAGAUUUAUCGGGGAUGGAUGAGCCCGCGUUGGAUUAGCUAGUUGGUGGGGUAAUGGCCUACCAAGGCGACGAUCUUUAGCUGGUCUGAGAGGAUGAUCAGCCACAUUGGGACUGAGACACGGCCCAAACUCCUACGGGAGGCAGCAGUGGGGAAUAUUGGACAAUGGGGGCAACCCUGAUCCAGCCAUGCCGCGUGAGUGAUGAAGGCCUUAGGGUUGUAAAAGCUCUUUUCACCGGGGACGAUAAUGACGGUACCCACAAAAAGAAAGCCCCCGGCUAAACUUUCGUGCCCAGCAGCCCGCGGGUAAAUACCAAAGGGGGCUAGCGUUUGUUUCGGAAUUUACUGGGGCGUAAAAGCGCACGUAAGGCGGGAUAUUUUAAGUCCU